AUGGCUGGUCACAAAAUAAAGUUUAUUGAGAGCAAAUAAAACUAUAUCACUCUGGUUGAGUAUAUUGAUUUUGGUCAAAAAAAAUAAAAUAAAAAAAAUAGUUCACCCAAAAAACUGAUUAACUGAUGGACUGGAGCGGUGUGGAUUACUUGUGGAUAAUUGUGAUGUUUUUAUCAGCUGUUUGGACUCUCAUUCUGACGGCACCCAUUCACUGCAGAGCAUCCACUGGUGAGCAAGUGAUGUAAUGCUACAUUUCUCCAAAUCUGAUGAAGAAACAAACUCAUCUCCAUCUUGGAUGGCCUGAGAGGUGUUGUCUACAGUCUUCCUUCCCGGAGGAAAUCUUUGCUCAGAUGCAGCACACGGUGAGGGUCAUCGCUCGGAUCUGUCUGACUGACAGCACGGACCACGGAGAGUUUCGUCAUUUGGCUCCAAGUUCUGCAGAACUAGAGGAAAUGCUUGAGUUCAUACAACGCAGAUCUUACCAAACUGUUCUUUGAUAAUCUUUGACACAAUCUUUGAUGUUCUUUAGUUUAAACGUCAUUUUUGGCUGUAUAGUAUAGUGUAUACUUGAGUUUAUAUACAGUAUGGUUUGUCCUCUUUGGAAACUCACAACUGUUGUCACACGCUGUCCAUUUCUGAUGAAUUAACAGGCCUGUUAUGAAUGUGGUGGAGUAUAAAUAUUUGAGCUGGUCUGGAGAUAUCGAGUAUCACAGUUUUGGGUUACUAACUGUGGCUCAUACACUACUGCUCUGAGACAAACGUCUCUGUUCCUCGUGUCAGCGUCCUGCUCACUCUGUCAGGGUUUAUUUUGAGAUAAUGACUGCUUGACUGUACAUUAUCUCUUAGUUACAACAUAGUUAAAACAAAAUAUAAUUAAUAUAAUUUACAGAUGUUCACAAUACAAUUUGGGGGAAAAUGCUGCAUGCACAUACAAAGUUAAUUAAAUACUGACUAGAAUAAAAUCUAAAUACAUCUUGAUAUAUAAAUCUAAAAUAAAAUGUUAAAUAUAUAUUUUAAAUAAUUUAUAUAUCAGUGUUUAUUUUGAGAUUAUGGCACGUUUACUGUACAUUAUGCCCUAAUUGUGGUACAACACACACACACAGGUUUGUUUUUGUGAACUGCGAGGACAUAGGCGUAAUGGUUUUUACAAACCGUAUUUUAUGUUGCCCUACCUACACUUAAACCAACCACUUACAGGAAACUUUCUGCAUUUUUUGAUUUUACAAAAAAAAAACAAAAAAAACAAAAAAAAACGGAAUGAUUAGUAAAUUUGAAAUGCAUAUAUUAGAAAUAUAUUAUAAGAUAUUUCAUACAUUAUAUAUUAUAUUGUAUAUUAUAUAUACGACAAAAGCUUACACUGGAUGCUCAUAUAUCUACAUGUAUAAAAUACGGAAAUAAAAUAUCGAUUCCCUAUCAAAAUCAUGUAAGUGUUAAGUCGUGCAGUGAGCACGUGGCGCGCGAUCAGCUGCGCUCUGACGUCAUCUCGCGCGCACACAUGACUCUCGUGGAAGCAGCAACAUGUCUCUGCUCUUCAGCGACGAGGAGCACCAGCAGGCGUGGGUCGAGCUGAGGGGGGCUGGGAGCUCUUCACUGGGACCAUGGACGUCCAAAUAUACAGACUAUAUAACAAGGAUACAGGUUUGUAUGAGUACAAAGUGUUGGGUUCUCUGGCCAGCUGUGCUCCAGAUCUCUGCGCAGAUGUUUACAUGGAUCUGAACUACAGGAGACAGUGGGACUCGCCUGUCAAAGAUCAGACAAAUUCAGCCCUGGUGAACAGAAGAGGCUUCUUUAAAAAAAAAAAAAACAUUUCAAAGCAGUAAGUAUUAAGUGUCCAAGGAAGCAAGAGGGCCGCAGUAUGUGAUCUGAAUAGUUAUAAUAUAGCUCUGAACACACAACUAAACACAGUCAUGCACUUACUGUAUAUAUCAUAAGACAUGUUAGCAUGUACUGGUGCUGAAUGUGUCCUUGCUCCUUCCCAUGAGCCUCUGCAGACUGGUUCAGAUGGAUUACAGUGAUCCAGCGCUCUCUGCUGGUGAAGUUAACUGCUGUUUGAUGGACAGGACACUGAAGUUCACACUGAUUUUAAUGCAGUUUUUACCUGUUAAUGUAACUUGCUGUAUAUUGGGGAAUGCAAUUAUAUUUCUGAUACUUUGCAGAUACUUUAAAACAGAAACCACAUGAUCAGGAUCCAGCAUAAAUCACAUGUAUGACAAUUGCUAGGAAAUAUAAAUAUAUUUAUGAGCAUUUGCAUGGACAAUAUUAUGCCUGUAUUCAUGUCUGAAAUCAAAAUCGUUUACAUGUUAAUGCUUUGCACAGAAAAAUGUGGUUGUUAAAAUAUAAUUUUGAUAUGAAAAAUCUGUCUUGUGAUCAAGACUAUUAAAUGUCAGAUUUCUUCAGUUCAAAUAUGCUAAAUGUAACAUUACAUGGGACUGCAUGAAUCUGAAUGUUGUGGUGAAUGAAUGAUGUGUUUGGUGCAAUACAGGCAUCAUUAUCUGCUGGUGUUUACAGACCUGGUUUUAUUAGUAAGAAAUCGAGAUCAUAUUUGACUCCGUUGUGCUUUCAUUGUCUUUCGCUGUAUUGUUUUCCUCUGGUUCUGUUGUUUUAUUGACAUCUACCUCUUAAACUCACAGUGCCGAACAUUGAAAAAUAUUGCCUUUACAUACUUCUUCCACCUGUUCAUUACUGCAAAUGUUUUCAUGCAAUAAACUGGUAUUUU